ACGAACGCUGGCGGCGUGCCUAAUACAUGCAAGUCGAACGCUUCUUUCCUCCCGAGUGCUUGCACUCAAUUGGAAAGAGGAGUGGCGGACGGGUGAGUAACACGUGGGUAACCUACCCAUCAGAGGGGGAUAACACUUGGAAACAGGUGCUAAUACCGCAUAACAGUUUAUGCCGCAUGGCAUAAGAGUGAAAGGCGCUUUCGGGUGUCGCUGAUGGAUGGACCCGCGGUGCAUUAGCUAGUUGGUGAGGUAACGGCUCACCAAGGCCACGAUGCAUAGCCGACCUGAGAGGGUGAUCGGCCACACUGGGACUGAGACACGGCCCAGACUCCUACGGGAGGCAGCAGUAGGGAAUCUUCGGCAAUGGACGAAAGUCUGACCGAGCAACGCCGCGUGAGUGAAGAAGGUUUUCGGAUCGUAAAACUCUGUUGUUAGAGAAGAACAAGGACGUUAGUAACUGAACGUCCCCUGACGGUACCUAACCAGAAAGCCACGGCUAACUACGUG
rnacentral:rRNA from 1 species